UACGUAGGGGGCUAGCGUUGUCCGGAAUCAUUGGGCGUAAAGCGCGCGUAGGCGGUUGCUUAAGUCGGAUGUGAAAGCCCUCGGCUUAACUGAGGAAGUGCAUCCGAAACUGAGCAGCUAGAGUACGAAAGAGGGUCGCGGAAUUCCCGGUGUAGAGGUGAAAUUCGUAGAUAUCGGGAGGAACACCGGUGGCGAAGGCGGCGACCUGGGUCGAGACUGACGCUGAGGCGCGAAAGCGUGGGGAGCAAACAGG
rnacentral:rRNA from 1 species